CCCUCUCUCUCUCUCUCUCUCUCAGUUGCUCCGUUUGUCGUUGUAGGCCACCUGCCUCUUUAUUUCCUCACGGCAGCUACAAACAAUGCUUUCUUCGUUAAUCCCCAAGCUCUUCAUUUCCUCUAUAAAACCAUCACUACCUCAAAUCUCUUCACUCAUAAGAUUAAAUUAAACCACACAUUCUCACUUCUCUCUUAACCAUGCCUCCCAUCAAAAUCAACCAAUCGCCCAAUCCCAAGGCUCAAACUCUUACCUCCACGCCGUCGUCACAGGAGGCACGUCUCCUUGUUCGCGAAACGCUGCGUAUUAGCGCCAACUUGGCUUCUGCUCCGGCUCCGUCUUCUCCUUCUCCUGUAAUGUCUCAUCCUCCCUCUACUUCACCUUCUUAUUCGUUUGUUUCUCCGCCGCAGUCUGUUUCUUUGAUUGAUAAUGGUGGAAGAUUAGGGCUUAUGGAAGACGAGUUUAUUGAUUCCAGCUCGAGGUUGAUCUGUUGUGAGGAAAUUGAUGGCCGGAGAUGGAAGUACGUUGCGGAAAACGAUGGUUUUGGAUGUUAUAAGAAGAAUUCGAUUCGUGCCGUCAGCUUGCAUACACCACAAGCUCCUGUUGAGGAAAUGAUAUCUUUCAUAAGAACCUAUGUAGUGCCUGAAGGUUUUCCUCAUAGCGUUACUCCAUCAUAUGUUCCAUACAUGACUUGGAGAGCUUUGAAGCAUUUCUUUGGUGGAGCGAUGGGUGUUUUCACAACAAAAGCCCUUUUGAGUUCUGUUGGAGUCUCUAAAAGCCAAGCUAUUUCUGGUGCUGUUGCUGUCAAUUGGAUUCUUAAGGAUGGUGCUGGUCGUGUUGGAAAAAUGCUUUUUGCACGUCAAGGAAAGAAAUUUGAUUGUGAUCUAAAGCAGCUGCGAUUUACAGGUGAUCUUCUCUUGGAAUUGGGUGCUGGGGUGGAGCUAGCAACUGCAGCUGUCCCACACCUUUUUCUUCCUUUGGCUUGUGCUGCCAAUGUGGCAAAGAACGUUGCAGCUGUAACAUCCACAUCAACUCGGACACCAAUUUACAAAGCCUUUGCUAAAGGAGAAAACACUGGGGACGUCACUGCCAAGGGAGAAUGUGUUGGCAAUCUUGCAGAUUUGCUUGGAACUGGUCUUAGCAUAAUGAUUGCAAAAAGAAAUCCAAGCGUGGUUACUGCAUUUGCUCUCCUUUCAUGUGGCUAUGUCUUCAGUUCUUACCGAGAGGUUAAAUCUGUAGUGUUGCACACCUUAAACCGGGCCAGAUUCAGUGUGGCAGUGGAUUCUUUUCUUAAGACAGGUUAGAUGAAUUGCUCCACAUGCUCAUACAAUAUCAAUAUAAUGUUUUUGUUUAACCAUCUCUGAUGGAUAGUAUAUUUUCUUGAUGUUUUAAAUCAAGUUCAAUAUGCAAGCAUAGAGCAAUAGUUUUUCUGCCUUGUAUUCAUCUGCAGGGCGAGUACCGUCAUUGCAAGAGGGGAAUACAAUGGAAAAUAUAUUCAGCUUUCCAUGGCUGAAGGAGAGGCCUAUUGUUCUAGGUAUGUAUACAAGAUCAUGGGUUCUCUCUCAUGAACAUAACUUUUUGUCAUCUGCUAGUUAUUGAGUUCAUUUCAAAGUGUUUUCCUAAUGAUGCCAGGACCAAAAUUUAAAGAUGCCUUUCAAGACCCUAGUGCAUAUCUUGCAAUAGAACCUCUUUUUGAGGUAUGCUACUUUCCAACAGGAAAUAGAUUUCAAGUGGGAAGUCUCUUCCUCUCACUGUGGAUGAAUUAGUUCUUUUUCUUUAUGUUUUUUUUUACUGAUGAUAGAAAGAGAGAUAUCUAGUGACAUACAAUCCAUCAAAGGAUAAGGUUUAUGCACUGCUCAAGGAUCAGGCAAAGUCAGACGACAUUCUAAAAGCUGCAUUCCAUGUGAGAUAUAACUGCAUUAUUUGUAUGCUUGUUUACUACUACCGUCCCUCAGGCUGAACACUCAGUAAGAUAUGUCUUAUCUUGUUUUACAGGCUCACUUGCUUUUGCAUUUCAUAAAUUUGUCAAAUAAUAGCCAUUCUUCGUCAUGGAAGCAACAAGCAUAUGGCCAUUCAAACAAUAUUCUCUCAGCUACUGAUCUUGAGGCUCAUAUUGCUGACUCAUGCAAAAUGGUCUCAAAUUUGUAUGGUCCUUUUAAAAGUAAAGCUGCAGAACAGGGUUGGAGAAUGUCAGACUCACUUCUUAAUCCUGGUCGAGCCAGGAUUGUAGUAGCUUGUUAAAGCGGAAAUAUACCCUUUGAAACUUCUCUUUGCUCAUAGUCAAGAGUUGACCUCAAGUUAUCAAACGGCAUUCAAUACUGUGGACGCGCCAACUAUCAACCCUCAAAAACAUAUUUAGAACAAAGAGACGAAUAGAGUACCAAUAGCACCAUGGGAACCAGGGGCUCAUUGAUGGUCAGUUCUCUUUGUUAUGCACCCAAAUACAUUGUUCAAUCUCUGCUCAUUCACAUACAAUCGAAGGUAGCGACAGUGAUGGAGGCAUGGAACUAGACCUCUAGCUUUGGAUGGCCAAACUAAAACUCCUUUAAUGCUUAUGAAUAGUGAUAGAUUAAAAAAAAAAUACAAUAAAAUAAUUUCUUGAUUUGUAAUUUAUCAUUACUUAACUGAAAUAAAAAAAAAAUUCUUUUAACUUUCUAAUUUACUUUAUUAAUAUAAAUUUUACUUUUUCAUUUUCUUUAUCAUGAUUUUUUUUUUAAUUUUCUAAUUUUUCUUUAUUAAUUAAUAAAUAAUUUCAAAAAGGAUUUAUAAAAUUUUCAACUUAUGAUAAAGUUAACUAAAUCAGUAGAAGGUUAAAUUUAUUAAUUCGAGUUUUAUUGGAGGCCUUGCAAUCUUAGAUUAUAUAUUCUACAUUUCUUUAAUUAGAAAUAAAUUACAAAAAAUUUUAGAAGGAAAUUUUUUUUUU
rnacentral:misc_RNA from 1 species